UUUUUUUCCUACCAUUCCUCAUUACUUAUGCAUGCACUGACUCUACAUGCACCUGCACAUUCACUCACCAGGAAGUCACUUUACUAGUCACACCUAAGGCGAAAAGCUUAGUGCACCUGAACAGAGCACCACUUCAUCACGGCACCAUCUGUGAAGGACUUGUGACUGCAUGUCUUUGGACUGUGAGAGGAAGGACACCACAGUAUUUCCUGCGAAUAUGAACUCAUCCACGUGCUAUAAUUGGCCUUAAUUGGAAAUGGGGGAGUUUCAGCAAGGAGUCUGCAGGUUAUUAUGUAGAACAUGCAUGUGCUCUGGUUUGUGCCUGCUCUGGUAUGUGUCUGCAGAAACAAGAAAGAGGGCAGUGACGAACACACAGCCUCUGGAAUGAGGCAUUCAGCCAAAGUGGAACACGGCUUCUUCCUUUUAAAUUUUCAUACGUGGGUGUAUGUAAGCCCGUGUGUUUGAAUAUUUAUGUAAAUAUCAGUUGUAGUCCUCGGGCCCCCGAUUGCUUUCCCAGCCAGAACGAGAUUUCAGUUAUCACAUGGUCCCAACAGCAAUCCCACCUCAAAGGCAAUACUUAAAAAGCUUUAUGACGCCGACACCCUAUACGGAAUACAUGAAAUGUACUGUCAAAAAGCGAGCUGCCCAAAAAGCCGCAUGUCUACACCGCACUUGCUUGGACCAGUUUACGUUUAAGCAGGCGCAUACCAUGAUGAUAAUCAGCCUGGUCUUUAUUUAGAAUAAAUAUAGAGUAUUUUCCCACAACAAUUGCCAACCUUGGAACAUAAAAGUCAAUAGAGGAGAAAAUUGUAUGGGUGACACUGGAGAGACUCGACAGUUGAUCCUUCAUGAGGAUGCACAUCGUUAGCAUGUAAAAACAGCCAUUUAGUAUAUACCUUUGAUGAUAAACCAGGCUAGGCCGGGUUCCUGGCCAAGGCCACAGAGAGAUGUUCACAAAAAGAAAUGGAGGAACCGGAGUCUAAAACAGAAAAUCUGCAACUGAUUGAAGACACGGAUCGAGUUUCUUCGUGUGGAAGCAUGCGCCUCCAAACAGCCUCCUGUGCCCUUGCCCUCCCCAACCUGACAAAUAUGGAACUUGACCCUUUGUGAAUUCUGAAGCCGACCUGCACACUGAAUAUAACCUUGGCAGAGUCGUGGGGUUGUCGAAGUGUGUUUCCAAUAAACUCAAGUCAAUGAAUAUA